rnacentral:misc_RNA from 1 species
UAAUCAGGUUAGCAGUUUCUGCAUGAGACAUGUUUCUUGAUCAGCGGAUGCAUAUUGAUACUUUUUGCUAUCGAUCUGGAAACUUGCAAGGUGUAUAUAUAAUGUUGUAAUCUUGUCCUGUAGACCUGGGUAAGAUUUGUGGAUCUUGUGAUAGAUUACCCUGGAGACUUCUGCUUCUGUUAUGUAAUUCAGACUGAAAAAAAGCUGUUGUGACCUGAAAUUUUAUCAAAGUU